rnacentral:rRNA from 1 species
GACGAACGCUGGCGGCGUGCCUAAUACAUGCAAGUCGAACGAACCGCGACUAGGUGCUUGCACUUGGUCAAGGUGAGUGGCGAACGGGUGAGUAACACGUGGGUAACCUACCUCAUAGUGGGGGAUAACAGUCGGAAGCGACUGCUAAUACCGCAUAGGACAUGGGAUCACAUGAUUCUGUGAGGAAAGGUGGCGCAAGCUAUCGCUAAGAGAUGGACCCGCGGUGCAUUAGCUAGUUGGUAGGGUAACGGCCUACCAAGGCGAUGAUGCAUAGCCGACCUGAGAGGGUGAUCGGCCACAUUGGGACUGAGACACGGCCCAAACUCCUACGGGAGGCAGCAGUAGGGAAUCUUCCGCAAUGGACGCAAGUCUGACGGAGCAACGCCGCGUGAGUGAAGAAGGUCUUCGGAUCGUAAAGCUCUGUUGUUAGAGAAGAACAGCGCAUAGAGUAACUGUUAUGCGU